GAAUGAAUCAUUUUAUUAGCCCUAAUAAGGAUUAAUCUUAAUUUUAAUGUAUAUAAAUAAAUAUGUCUGCUUGAAAGGAUGAAGAAAGUUGUAUGCAAGUUGUUAUAAACAAUGCAUAUUAUAUAGCCAUUGGUAUUUCAAAAGAGGACCAUGUACUUGUUUAGUUUAUGAGAAGUUGUUUUAAUUAAUUUUGAGAUAAAGACGUGUCAAAGCAGUUAAAUCUGUGUCUAUAUUGCAUGUUCAAAUCAUUUAUAUUACCAAAUGUUUUCUCUGGGAAUUCAUGAGUUUGAAAAUUUUAGAGAAAUGCUUAAUAAAUGCAUUACACUGUUAGAUUUCAGUUGACUAAAUUUACUGUAGAUUUAGUCGACUAAAACUAGACUAAGACUAAAAACAAUUCGGAUGACUAAAAUGUGAUUAAAACUAAAUGGCAUUUUAGUCCAAAGACUUUGACUAAACCUAAAUCAAAAUUUGGUGUCACAAUUAACACUGCCGUAUAAGUGUUCACACUGUGACUAGAUUCAGUCAGUCAGGAGGAUUCACACUCGAGAGAAACCGUAUCACUGCACUGAAUGUGGGAAGCGUUUCAAUAAUUCAUCUUCUCGACACAGUCUUACAAAACACAUUCACAGUAAGUAGAUCAUCUUCAGAUCCAGCACUUUCAGUUCUGAUGCUGCGUCCUCAUCAAAUGCGACACAAUAAUGCAUCAAGCAAUAAAAUAUAAUUUCACAGUGAAUAAAGUUCAUCUUCAUCUUCAAAUCAAGCAGAUUCAACUGUGAGAUUCAGAUCAACACAAAGAUGGAGUUUCUCCCCAAAGAACAAUGUCAGAAAGUUUUAUUAUUGUAUAUAGUUUUGCUUCAUGAUAUAAAUAUUGUUUUUUUUUUUUACGAGUUUCAUAUAUUGUUCAAUUGGCGUUAUUGACAAUCAGACAGCAAAAGAAUGCCAAUGACUUUUCCUCACAUCAGGAGACUCUCAGGAUGGAUCUACCAUUUCAACAGUUUCAAAACAUUCAACAUUUCUAAAAGUUUCAAAGAGUUUUAAAUUGACUGGUUUUUAUAUUAAUUUAGAACUUCCAAAUAAUUGUCAAACUCUUAACCCUCUGGGAUCGACAAACGCGUAUACGCGUUUUGACGCAGAUUUUCCUGAUAAGGCCGAAAUGAGCUUGAAUUACUCUGCCAUUUUUGAUCGUACAGAUAAAAGCAAUACACCAUUCGAAUCUGUAAGGGGUCUACUUUUAUUUGUGUACACUCAUAAUAACAACUAAACUUUGUGCUUCUGAAGAAUAAAGAAAACAAACAGGGUGCGCUCUCUGUCUUCUCCGUCUCUGCGAACUGUUUUUAGAAACGCGUCACUAAAAUGAACUGUAACUCAGCAAAUACUCAACACAGAGACAUGAGAAAUAUAUCUAUAGAAAGCUUGAAGUGUCUACUUUGAAAUGAAGCAAGUCUUAUCGAAAACAAACAUUCGGUGAUGAAGUAAUCCGUAUGAAACCAACACGAUGUUCAAUCUUUCCCGUCUGACUCAUUAUCUCUAAUGAGAUCCUGCCCUCGCGCGACUCGCGCUGUUCAUAUGUAAAUAGCUGCGUGGUAAGUGCGCGCGUGCAAACGCCCAACACAAACAAAGAGUGAGGAGAUGCAUCGCGGCUACUGUUCGUUUCUGGAAGACGCGCUGAGUAAAAGCAGGAUUUCCCUCGAAAGAAGAACACGAUUUCAUCCAGCAGAGGACAUGAAUACCAGCACCAGAUGUAUCCUGAUGUCUCUUCAAACUGUUUUCCUCUGAGAGCGCUGCACCAACAUGAGAUGUUCAACUACACUGAUAUUCUAUGUCAAAACAAGCUCCUUCUCUACUGAUUAUGUUUUUUUCUUCUUGAAUCCAUGGAAAGAAGUAGAAACACUUAAAUAACAUGUAAAUAUCAGGUAUGAUUUACUUGUUUCACUUGUUGAACAGAAUCUGUUGCAGGAAUGACUCAAAGUCUGUUCACAUCUCUGUGGUUAGAUCAGUGUGCACAAUAAUGUGUCUUUGACCUUCAUUAUGUAUGUUUUGAUUAUACUGUGUUGUAAAUAAAAUACAAAUAAUUUAAAAAACCCUUUUUUUUCAAUCUCCUCACAUUCUCUCUUACCUGCCUCACAGUCACACUGAUGGGCCAUUAGGGGAGGGCCCUUUGUCUCUCAGGUGAAAAUCACUUAAUAUUCAUGGCCAUUGCCACUCCCUCGCAUAUAGACCCUCGAUCACAAAACAUGUCUUGAAAAUUUUAAAUCAAUAUAUUGUUUUCUGUGAAUGAGUAAGCAGAAUGAUUUUCACAUAAUUCUGAAGUAAAUAUUCUAGCCUACAAGACUGAUUACUCAAAAGUCUUGGUCAGGACUAUUUAGUGUGGGUUUUAUGGCCUUAUUUCAGCUACAUUUUUUCCCAAAACUUACAAACCACGCAUAAUAUUUUUUUUCUAAAAAAUGCAAACAUGUACAUCCAUCUUGGUCACAUAUUAUUGUAGCACAGUUUGUGCUGAAUACAAAAAAAAUUACAUGUUGGUCAAUAGUAUGUUUUAAGUAGCUGAAAUAAGCACAAAUAUCAGGGCAUGUCAAAACAUCUCAAGGGCCCCAAAAUGACCUCGGACCCCAGAGGGUUAAAUGCAUGCAUUGCUUGUAAUGUUCCUGACAAGUUUCAAUAAAAGUGUCUGUGAAAUGAACAAAUCUUAACGUAAUGGCAGAAAAACAAAUGCCACAUCUUUUUUGUUUUCUAGAAGUCAAACAUCAGUUCUUUUCAGCUCUUUUCUAUAAUAAAACCGUUGACCACAGACCACUGUGCAAAUCUCUAAAACUAGUCAUCAGGACGGGUUCAGCAGAUCAAUGCUGCUGUUCACUGGAAUCACCACAGCUCAGUUCUGAAGACAAGAAAUAGUUUAAAUUCAUACAGCUGAUAAUCAAAAUGUCAUUGAAGUGAAUGCUGCUAGUGUAGCUGUUCUGACAUGAAAGAGCAUCAUUAGAGCAUUCCUGAUCACUGAGAAAAACCUGGGCUUUCAACUGCAGCUUCUGCUCUCUGUAAAGAGCACUAUUGUGUUCAGGAGUGGAGAAGCUUUGAGUUCUGUUAUUUUGGUCAUGGUUUGGGGAUUUGAAGGUGGAAACAUUGAUAAAUACACUCCGCUCAUCUCCAGUGUAGAAUCUGGGUAGAUACUUAUUAUAGUAACGAAGUGAAUUUACUUGAGUACACUUAUUGAGAAUCUGUACUUGAGUAUUAUUUUUUCUGGAAACUUUUGAAAGACAAAUACCAUACUUUUUACUCCACUACAUUUAUAUAAAGGUCCCCAAGCUGAAAGUCGUCACAUGUAGCAGUUUUUCCUGAGUGCACAUUUUCAGAUUCACUGAACCCGUUUUUUUCUGCGAAAAUCUGGCCUGCGAUCUGCCAGGACCUUCCAGUGUUGCCAAGCCUUACAGUAUUUCUAAGCCUGCCAUUUUCUGCCUAGCUUUGAAUGGACAUUUGGCAGACUUUUUAUGCAAAUCUGGUAACCUUGAGACCUUCACCGCUAAACUAAUGUAAACGGCUAGACGUAAGAUCAUAGAAGAUAAAUGAUCGACGUGGCAGCUGAACGGUAAAUAAAAAUUACCUACACCUUGAGCUACUGUCAGUCCUCUGUCGUGUGUUGUGUUUCCCGCCCUCAUGUUUCCUUAUUUGGUCAUGUUAUUAUUUAUUUGGUGUCUGUUAAUUAACCUGUGUAUUCAGUUCCUGCCCGUUCAGUUACUUUUUGUCUGGUCUACUUGUUAUUCCCCGGUGUUCCUGUGUGUCCCAGCCUUGUCUUGCCCUGUCUGUUUUGGAUUUAUUAAAGACUGUAUUUUGAGUUCAUCCUCGUCUCUGCUGUGUGCACCGUGACAGCUACAUGCAGAGGUGGACAAAGUACACAACUUCAUUACUUGAGUGAAAGUACAGAUACUACUGGUCAAAUACAACCCGAAUUCCGGAAGUGUUGGGACGUUUUUUAAAUUUGAAUAUAAUGAAAACUAAAAUACUUUCAAAUCACAUGAGCCUAUAUCUUAUUCACAAUAGAACAUAGAGAACAUAAAUGUUUAAACGGAGAAAUUUUACACUUUUAUCCAUUAAAUGAGCUCAUUUCAAAUUUGAUGCCUGCUACAGGUCUCCAAAAAGUUGGCACGGGGGCAACAAAGGGCUGAAAAUCAAGACAUUUUGAAAAGAUUCAGCUGGGAGAACAUCUAGCAACUAAUUAAGUUAAACAACAAUAAUAAUUAAACAUGGGGUCAAUAGAUAUUUUCUUGUUUAACAGCUGAAGACCAGCAACGCAAAGAAAAUCAGUCACAGCAAGCCGGUCAAACCAGUCCUGAUGCAUGAGGAAUGAACAUGGCCUUCUUGUGCCCAAACAGAAAAGACAGAGAGCUGGAAAGUUGCACAUUUCCAUUGCUCCUAGAAUGAGCAGAUUAGCUGUGCCAUCAUCUCUGGAAUUUGGGCAGGAAAUGACUGAAUAUGGAGGAUGAAGCCAGCUGAAGAAGAUAUCAAUUCAAUGGCCACCAAGUGCUGCACUGCUGCCUGAACCCAUCAGGUAUCUGCUGUGAAGACUGCUUUCAUGAACAGCUCUACUGUGACAGAGCAGAUGUUAUGGCACAUAAAAGUAAACUUCACAACUGAACAACUGAUAGUGGUGGAGGGAUUCUUUUAGCCCAUACCUCCAACAAGAAUCAAUAGACAUCAACACCAGGUGGAGAGUGAGAAGGAUCGUCAGAUACUCCAGCCACCCGAACCAUGGAUUGCUCUCACCGUUACCAUCAGGCAGAUGUUAUCACAGAACCUUCACCAGCAGACUGCAAGACAAGUUCUUUUCACAGACAAUCAGACUGAACUGAACUCGCACCAGUAACACCACACACAGCACACCAACCUCUUAUGCACUCUAUCACUUACACUGACUGGACUCUGACUCACUAUUAUUCUGCACCCUGAUAUUCUGUUUGCACUAAUUCAUGCCGUACUGCACUGCUAAGGUAUAUGUGUACCGUGAUUAUUGUGUUUAUUAUUGUUUUCAUUUCAUGCUCUCUGUGUAGUAUAAUAUUUACCAUACGUUGUUCUCUACCUGUAAUGAGUCCCUUAUAUGUGUGUUGCAUAUAUAUUCAAUACUUUUCAUCCAUACUGUCAUGCUGCAGUUUGCUCAAAAGACUUUCACCACCUGUACACUUGUAUUCAUGGUAUUGUGACAAUAAAGUGAUUUGAUUUGAAUUG